rnacentral:lncRNA from 1 species
AGCAUACUUUCCUCUGUAGCAAGACAUGAAAGAAAUUAUAGAGAAAGGAGAUUGUAAGAGUCAAUGAUGGGGAGUGAGGGUUAAUAUAGAAGAGAUUGUUGAGACAUCAGUUUCAUCGCCCCCAAUAAAAGAAACAGGUCAAGAUCUGAAAGCAGAUCUGAAACGGGUAAGACCGAGAACCUGUUACACCGGAAUGGUUUAAGCAGUGGAGGAUGGUGAUGGCAGAAUGGUGGUGCUACCAGGCACAUAACAGGCCAAUACUUUUCUGGCAGUCAAAUCGAUAUCGGCGACCACUGCUUUGAGAUCUGUAAACUAGGGUUUUUCAAGGUCAGCAAAGAUGAUCGAUUCUUGAGAAUCAAACGACGAAAUAAUUUGUUUUGGGUGAAUGGUGAUGGAAUUAAUUGUGGAUGAUUUGUGACCUUAUUUGAGGAGAAUUAUAUUGAAGUAUUUGAAUUUCAUCUUGUUGAUAAGUGCAGAAUUAAUUCGAUGAUUUUGAAGAUCUGAAUUGUUGUUCCAAAGUUCAUGUUUAUGGAUUAAUAAAUAGAUAAAUUUAUAUUUUAUUAUAGUUUUAG